rnacentral:rRNA from 1 species
GACGAACGCUGGCGGCGUGCUUAACACAUGCAAGUCGAACGGAAAGGCCCUGCUUUUGUGGGGUGCUCGAGUGGCGAACGGGUGAGUAACACGUGAGUAACCUGCCCUUGACUUUGGGAUAACUUCAGGAAACUGGGGCUAAUACCGGAUAGGAGCUCCUGCUGCAUGGUGGGGGUUGGAAAGUUUCGGCGGUUGGGUAUGGACUCGCGGCUUAUCAGCUUGUUGGUGGGGUAGUGGCUUACCAAGGCUUUGACGGGUAGUCGGCCUGAGAGGGUGACCGGCCACAUUGGGACUGAGAUACGGCCCAGACUCCUACGGGAGGCAGCAGUGGGGAAUAUUGCACAAUGGGCGGAAGCCUGAUGCAGCAACGCCGCGUGCGGGAUGACGGCCUUCGGGUUGUAAACCGCUUUCGCCUGUGACGAAGCGUGAGUGACGGUAAUGGGUAAAGAAGCACCGGCUAACUACGUG